UACUCAACUGAUACCCUUGCUUUCAGGUUAUACUUGUUGAGAAAGUCACUGUUGGUAUUUAAGUUAACACAUAAAAACAAAAGCUUUCAAACAAGACUGCAGCUAUUUAAAGAUCGUGAACUACCAUUACUGAAACCAUAGAAAAAAGCAACCUGCCAAAACAUCGGUGCUCUACACAACCGCGCAAAUAAAGUUACGCUCUUAAACAUCCUUAUUUAAUGCACUGCGUUUAACAGAUGGGUUUCAGUGCCUCUGCCUAGGGCUGGGAGAGAAAGUACCCUGCGGUACGAAGCCACUGGAAUGAAGGACAGCAAGUCCCGGGAACGCCGGAGGCCGGCUGCUGGAAGGAAACAGGGGUUUUCUUCUAAGAGCUUGAACUUCAGUGUGAAAGCUUGGCUUUACUUUGGUCACUGAAAAUCAAUCCAGUUGAUGUUAGAGAGGCUAUGACCCAGGAGAGAAAAGGAUGGAGUUCUUUUGCUGGCCUAAACCAGGCUGUCAGGACACAGAGCAAAAAUGUGAAAAGUAAAGACAGAAAGGAGGUGAUCCCCUGUAUCAUACCAAGUAACUCCAUGACAUUUUAGUGUACUUCAGUAACUCCAGGCUGCAGGACCUUUGGAUAUUACCAGACUUUCAGACUGACCUUGCUGUGGAUGCCUGAACCCAGCAGCAGUGCUGCUGUUCCAAGCAAGAUGCAAAACCAAACCCGUGUUGUGCUAGAGAUGACAUAUCCACCUCUGCUGCCACCACUGCCAACCUUCUCAGCUGCACUGGUACUCAGACCUCAGCCUGGCUGUUGGAGACCACUCUAGCAAGGUCUUUUCAAAAUUUUUUCAUAGACACAAAAAAGUUAAAAUAAAAUGAACUGAAACAGUGCUGUUCUCUGCAAUAUCUACACUGAAUAGAAGUGCACUCAGAAGAUUGCAAGUACUAAGAUUUCAUUUUCUGCAGGAAACAAAUGUCAUAAUACAAAGUGGAUGAAAUUCUCCAUUCUUUGAGAGAAAGAGUGUGAAUAUCCUCAUGCUGGAGAGAAGGUGUAAGGCUGUUUAUCAUGCAGCUGCAGCAAUAGCCAUAUUUGUGAGGAAUACAGAAGUGAUGCAAACCAGGGAAUGAGAAGCACUGUUGCUAAAAGACAAACAUCCUUCAGGAACAGAAAAGGGAUAUUUCUUUCAGUAUGGCUGAAUCAGGCCAAAAGUCCAUUUGCCUCAGCAUCCUGUCUCUGACAAUGAUGUUUAAGAAAAGAAACAAGGCAUGGAGUAAAUCCUGUGUGGUACUUUCCAUGGCUGCCAGCAUCAGCUUCCUAUUUUAGAGACUGUAUCAGCAUCUUUGGUUUUGAAAAGCCUGGUGGACUUCUAUUCCAUGAGUUUUCACUACAGAUUCAACUUUUCUCCAUAAAAUGUAUUUUUUUUUCUUUUUAAAUGUAAUGAGAAAGAAAAUCACACAGUAAACUUUGCUUUUAUGCAGCAGUAGUUAGGAAUGUUAAUAGCACGAUGGGAAACCUGAUGUGGGUCACCUGGUCAUAUUCCUAUUGGUGGAACAGUGCCAUCCACUGCAAAACAUCCCCCUGUAUGUCACCACAGGACAGCUCUGUGCACAUCUGAGCACCCCUUACUUUCCACUCAUCUCUGCCCACAGCACUCAGGUGUGCUUUUGCUCAAGCCUAGACUUUCAGGGGAUGAUGGAAUUUACAGUAAUUUGACUUUCUCUUGCGGCAAAGGAUAAAGGUCAAGUCCAAAUAGUCCAUUAAGCAUCUCAAGUGUUAUUGUUAUUAUAUGGUACAGACACAUAAUCUCCUGCCCUUUUAAACAUUUGGCAAUCUAUAAUCUGUGACUGAGAAUGCCAGUGGAGUCCAGAAUCUGAGAAAUGUACUUGGUUUCUAUUGUAAGGAAAUAUGCAAUUAUACGUAGUAUGGAAGCAUCUUAUGGAUAAUGCAAUCAAAGGCACUGAGAAGAUUAAAUGACUGAAUGGCAUUGGAAAAAAUGUGUAUACUAGUUAAGCAACAAAACUGUCCAAGUGCCUAACAGAUGAAGUUAGAGUUAUGGCUCAUGAAAUUGUGACUAUUUAUCUUCCACAGAAUUCUGUUUAAAAAAACCCUUGUUAUUCAUGAAAGUUGAAAAUUUAAAAUCAUUUUAAUGCAAGUUAUUGUCAUCUCAAUAAAACUUCAAGUGAAUCUCAUUCAGAACAAAACAUUUUGCAGU